UACGUAGGGUCCGAGCGUUGUCCGGAAUUAUUGGGCGUAAAGGGCUCGUAGGCGGUUUGUUGCGUCGGGAGUGAAAACUUCGAGCUUAACUCGGAGCUUGCUUUCGAUACGGGCAGACUUGAGGCAUUCAGGGGAGAACGGAAUUUCUGGUGUAGCGGUGAAAUGCGCAGAUAUCAGAAGGAACACCGGUGGCGAAGGCGGUUCUCUGGGAAUGUUCUGACGCUGAGGAGCGAAAGUGUGGGGAG
rnacentral:rRNA from 1 species